GGUGACUGUGAUGAGUUGCACUACUAGACAGGUUGCUGAUGCAGUGGCACAGUUGACCUGUCCUGACUGCCUGUGGUGACACCCAUUGUGCACAGGGGCCAUCUGAGUCA
ensembl:snoRNA small nucleolar RNA SNORD67